UACGGAGGGUGCAAACGUUGCUCGGAAUCAUUGGGCGUAAAGCGCACGUAGGCGGCGCGUUAAGUCGGAUGUGAAAGCCCCGGGCUCAACCCGGGAAGUGCAUACGAAACUGGCGCGCUUGAAUAUGGAAGAGGGUCGCGGAAUCCCCGGUGUAGAGGUGAAAUUCGUAGAUAUCGGGAGGAACACCAGUGGCGAAGGCGGCGACCUGGGCCAAUAUUGACGCUGAGGUGCGAAAGCGUGGGGAGCAAACAGG
rnacentral:rRNA from 1 species